GACAGGUACUCCACUGGAGGGAGACAGGUACAAGGUGGAACAGUCCAUCUGCGCCUCCACUCUGACUGUGACUCUUCAGCCCUCAGACCACCACAGGAAUUGGACAUGUCAGCUGACUAGAGAAGGGGAAGUGAAGGUUUCACACAGUUACACUACCAUCCUCUCUGAUACACCUUUUUCGACAGUUUGGAUUGGAUUGGGAGUGGCUGCAGCUGUGUGUGUAGCCAUUGUUGUCAUUGUUGGGAUUGUGGUCUGCAGGAGAAGAACAGAGAGCAACAUUCACCAAGUCCCAUCAGUUACCAAUGGGAACACAGGACAGAAUGAAGAUGCUGUAACCUAUGUUACAGUCAAUCACCCCAUUGGUGAACAGAGGAAGCCCAACAAAGCUACUGCAGACAUCGACACUGAAUAUGCCACUAUCAAAACCUCAGGGUGAAUGCGUCACUGACACAUACUGUACACACAUCAGACUGAACUGUGAGAGAUGUGGGACAUUAUUAAAAUUGGCACACAUGUACAUAUGUACAUUGCUCAGAGAUUUACCACUGAAAUACUUUCACACACUGUACAUACAACCUUCACACACAUUGAAACAACUGCAUACAUAUGUUCAGCCAAAAGCACAAACCCAUACACAAUAUUUGCUUUUUGUAUGAGUGUUUAUAAUGAAUAUGCAAGCACGCAGCAAAGUAUGUAUGUCUGUACAUGCUUGAGUUCGAAUAUCUUGUUUGCCAGUAUGACCUGCAUGCUAGGAGA